rnacentral:lncRNA from 1 species
GGUACUUUACUCCCUCCUAAGGAGGAUAAAACUUAGAUAUAGAGCUUAUGUGAUACGCAUGCAUGUGAUAGUGUGCAUUAAGGAACACAUACAUCUUUAUUUGCAAUUUUCACAAGCCAAGUUAAAGAAUAAAAAAUAAUAAAAAUAAAUGCAAACAAACGAUCAAUAAUUUAAAACCAAGCAAACAAAAAAAUUAGGAUAAUUCAAAAUUAAUUAAUGGCCUA